rnacentral:rRNA from 1 species
AGCGAACGCUGGCGGCAUGCUUAACACAUGCAAGUCGCACGGAUCGGGGCAACUCGGUCAGUGGCGGACGGGUGAGGAGCGCGUAGGAACGUGUCGUUGGGUGGGGGAUAACCCUGGGAAACUGGGGCUAAUACCGCAUGAGGGCUGAGGCCCAAAGCAGAGAUGCGCCUGAUGAGCGGCCUACGUCCGAUUAGGUAGUUGGUGGGGUAAAAGCCUACCAAGCCUGCGAUCGGUAGCUGGUCUGAGAGGACGACCAGCCACGCUGGGACUGAGACACGGCCCAGACUUCUACGGGAGGCAGCAGUGGGGAAUAUUGGACAAUGGGCGCAAGCCUGAUCCAGCAAUGCCGCGUGUGUGAAGAAGGUCUUCGGAUUGUAAAGCACUUUCGGCGGGGACGAUGAUGACGGUACCCGCAGAAGAAGCCCCGGCUAACUUCGUGCCAGCCGCCGCCGUAAAAC